AUUGAACGCUAGCGGGAUGCCUUACACAUGCAAGUCGAACGGCAGCACGGACUUCGGUCUGGUGGCGAGUGGCGAACGGGUGAGUAAUGUAUCGGAACGUGCCCAGUAGCGGGGGAUAAUACGCGAAAGCGUAGCUAAUACCGCUACGCCCUACGGGGGAAAGCAGGGGAUCGCAAGACCUUGCACUAUUGGAGCGGCCGAUAUCGGAUUAGCUAGUUGGUGGGGUAACGGCUCACCAAGGCGACGAUCCGUAGCUGGUUUGAGAGGACGACCAGCCACACUGGGACUGAGACACGGCCCAGACUCCUACGGGAGGCAGCAGUGGGGAAUUUUGGACAAUGGGGGAAACCCUGAUCCAGCCAUCCCGCGUGUGCGAUGAAGGCCUUCGGGUUGUAAAGCACUUUUGGCAGGAAAGAAACGUGCAUGGGUUAGUACCCCGUGAAACUGACGUACCUGCAGAAUAAGCACGCA
rnacentral:rRNA from 1 species